rnacentral:rRNA from 1 species
GAUGAACGCUGACAGAAUGCUUAACACAUGCAAGUCUUUGGCGAAUCUGUGCUUGCACAGGCUAGCCAAGGCGGACGGGUGAGUAACGCGUAAAGAACUUGCCCUGCAGACAGGGAUAACAGACGGAAACGACUGAUAACACCUGAUACAGUUGCCGGCACGCAUGUGCCUGGCAAUGAAAAGGGAUGCUGCAGGAGAGCUUUGCGUCCUAUUAGCUUGUUGGUGAGGUGACGGCUCACCAAGGCGAUGAUAGGUAGCCGGCCUGAGAGGGUGAACGGCCAAAAGGGGAAUGAGAUACGGCAGUUACUACUACGGGAGGAAGCAGUGGGGAAUAAUGGAAAAUGGGGGCAACACUGAUCAAGAAAUUCUGUGUGCAAGAAGAAGGUUUUCGGAUUGAAAAGUGAUUUCAGAAGGGAAGAAGAAAGUGACGGUACCUGCAGAAGAAGCGACGGCUAAAUACGUG